rnacentral:rRNA from 1 species
GCGAGGCCGAAAGGCGUAGUCGAUGGGAAACGGGUUAAUAUUCCCGUACUUCUUACAAUUGCGAUGGGGGGGACGGAGAAGGCUAGGUGGGCCUGGCGACGGUUGUCCAGGUUCAAGUGCGUAGGCUUAAGAGUUAGGUAAAUCCGGCUCUUUCUAAGGCUGAGACACGACGUCGAGCACCUACGGGUGUGAAGUCAUUGAUGCCAUGCUUCCAGGAAAAGCCUCUAAGCUUCAGAUUGUAAGGAAUCGUACCCCAAACCGACACAGGUGGUCGGGUAGAGAAUACCAAGGCGCUUGAGAGAACUCGGGUGAAGGAACUAGGCAAAAUGGUACCGUAACUUCGGGAGAAGGUACGCUCUUGAUGGUGAAGUCCCUCGCGGAUGGAGCUGACGAGAGUCGCAGAUACCAGGUGGCUGCAACUGUUUAUUAAAAACACAGCACUGUGCAAAAUCGUAAGAUGACGUAUACGGUGUGACGCCUGCCCGGUGCCGGAAGGUUAAUUGAUGGGGUUAGACUUC